rnacentral:lncRNA from 1 species
ACGCCCUAGGUCAGUGAUAAUCCACUACUACUACGCCCUAGGUCAGUGAUACUCCACUACUACUACGCCUAGGUCUGAUACUCCACUUCCUAUUUUUUUUACUACCCCUAGGUUCAGUGAUACUCCACUACUACUACGCCCUAGGUCAGUGAUACUCCACCACUACUCCCUAGGUCAGUGAUACUCCACCACUACUCCCUAGGUCAAGGUGAUACUCCACCACUACUCCCUAGGUCAGUGAUACU